rnacentral:rRNA from 1 species
UGACAUGACAAUUUUACGCUAUUGGUUUGCGUUUAAAGUGUAAUGAUUAAUACGGUAUGAGUAGGGGGUGUUCAUAUUGGUGGGCGAGAGGUGAAAUUAGAAGACCCUAACAAGAUGAACUUCUGCGAAAGCAUUCACCAAAUACUUCCCCAUUAAUCAAGAACGAAAGUUUGGGGAUAGAAGACGAUCAGAUACCGUCGUAGUCCAAACUAUAAACUAUGUCGACCAGGGAUCGGUUAAAAUUUUUUCAAAAUUUAAUCGGCACCUUGUGAGAAAUCAUGAGUGUUUAGAUUCCGGGGGGAGUAUGGUCGCAAGUCUGAAACUUAAAGGAAUUGACGGAAGGGCACACAAUGGAGUGGAGCCUGCGGCUUAAUUUGACUCAACUCGGGAAAACUUACCAAGCUAA